UACGUAGGGGGCAAGCGUUGUCCGGAUUUAUUGGGCGUAAAGCGCUCGCAGGUGGUUCGUUGCGUCGUGCGUGAAAGACCCCGGCUCAACUGGGGGAUGUCGUGCGAUACGGGCGGACUGGAGGCCAGUAGGGGGAUGCGGAAUUCCGGGUGUAGAGGUGAAAUUCGUAGAUAUUCGGAAGAACACCAGUGGCGAAGGCGGCUCACUGGACCGGUAUUGACGCUGAGGUGCGAAAGCGUGGGGAGCAAACAGG
rnacentral:rRNA from 1 species